rnacentral:rRNA from 1 species
GAGGAAUAUUGGGCAAUGCCCGCAAGGGUGACCCAGCAACGCCGCGUGGAGGAUGAAUGUCGUAAGAUUGUAAACUCCUGUUAGAGGGGAAGAAUAGUACCGGUUGGACCGGUAUAUGACUGUACCCUCAGAGAAAGCCCCGGCUCACUACGUGCCAGCAGCCGCGGUAAUACGUAGGGGGCAAGCGUUGUCCGGAUUUACUGGGUGUAAAGGGCGCGCAGGCGGGAUAAAAAGUCAGUGGUGAAAUCCUACAGCUUAACUGUAGAACGGCCUUUGAUACUUUUAUUCUUGAGUUCGGGAGAGAGAGACGGAAUUCCGGGUGUAGUGGUGAAAUGCGUAGAUAUCUGGAAGAACACCAGUUGCGAAGGCGGUGUCUUGGUCCGACACUGACGCUGAGGCGCGAAAGCGUGGGGAGCAAACA